AUUGAACGCUGGCGGCAUGCCUUACACAUGCAAGUCGAACGGCAGCGCAGACUUCGGUCUGGCGGCGAGUGGCGAACGGGUGAGUAAUACAUCGGAACGUACCCUGUUGUGGGGGAUAACUAGUCGAAAGAUUAGCUAAUACCGCAUACGACCUGAGGGUGAAAGUGGGGGACCGCAAGGCCUCACGCAGCAGGAGCGGCCGAUGUCUGAUUAGCUAGUUGGUGGGGUAAAGGCCCACCAAGGCGACGAUCAGUAGCUGGUCUGAGAGGACGAUCAGCCACACUGGGACUGAGACACGGCCCAGACUCCUACGGGAGGCAGCAGUGGGGAAUUUUGGACAAUGGGGGCAACCCUGAUCCAGCAAUGCCGCGUGUGUGAAGAAGGCCUUCGGGUUGUAAAGCACUUUUGUCCGGAAAGAAAUCGCGCUGGUUAAUACCUGGCGUGGAUGACGGUACCGGAAGAAUAAGCACCGGCUAACUACGUG
rnacentral:rRNA from 1 species